GUGGGGAAUAUUGGGCAAUGGGCGAAAGCCUGACCCAGCAACGCCGCGUGAAGGAAGAAGGUUUUCGGAUCGUAAACUUCUAUCCUUGGUGAAGAUAAUGACGGUAGCCAAGAAGGAAGCCCCGGCUAACUACGUGCCAGCAGCCGCGGUAAUACGUAGGGGGCAAGCGUUGUCCGGAAUGAUUGGGCGUAAAGGGCGCGUAGGCGGCCCGGUAAGUCUGAAGUGAAAGUCCUGCUUUUAAGGUGGGAAUUGCUUUGGAUACUGUCGGGCUUGAGUGCAGGAGAGGGAAGCGGAAUUCCCGGUGUAGCGGUGAAAUGCGUAGAGAUCGGGAGGAACACCAGUGGCGAAGGCGGCUUACUGGACUGUAACUGACGCUGAGGCGCGAAAGUGUGGGGAGCAAACAGGAUUAGAAACCCCAGUAGUCC
rnacentral:rRNA from 1 species